CCCGGGCCCUGCACUGCUGAUCAGUGCCUGGGGGCCUCCAUUUGCCUUCUGUUCCCAGGAAGCUACCAGAGGCCCCUCCACCGGCCCUUUCUUGCAGCAAGCCUUUAGCAUACUAUUUGUGUAGAAUUUCACUUCUGCUGCACUGUGUUUAAGACAGUGCCAGAGGAAGACAAAGUUCUGGGGUCCUCAUUGUCAUGAGGAUACUUAGAAGCCAGGGACUCAAACCAUCAACACUGCUCUAUUCCAGCUCCCUGUUUGGGGCCUCAAGGCCCUUUUCAGUUUAUAAUGUGGUCUCUUUAAAAGAAAAACAUGGAAGCAAAGCAG
rnacentral:lncRNA from 1 species